rnacentral:rRNA from 1 species
UACGUAGGGUGCAAGCGUUGUCCGGAAUUAUUGGGCGUAAAGAGCUCGUAGGCGGCUCGUCACGUCGGCUGUGAAGACCCGGGGCUCAACCCCGGGCCUGCAGUCGAUACGGGCGAGCUAGAGUUCGGCAGGGGAGACUGGAAUUCCUGGUGUAGCGGUGAAAUGCGCAGAUAUCAGGAGGAACACCGAUUGCGAAGGCAGCUCGCUGGAACGUUACUGACGCUGAGACGCGAAAGCGUGGGGAGCAAACAGG